GCCGUUUUGCCCGUGCAGCACUGGUGACGUCACGAGGUUGGUUGGUUGAAGAACCCAGGUACAUAGCUAGCUGUCAAGGUUAAGGAAAAGAGCUUGUUGCCGUCAAGAUUAUGGAUAAGGACGAAGUUUAAGGGGUUCCUAGAAACCCAAUGGCUUAUGCGUUCGAGCCGGUGAGGAGACGAGACAGAUUAACGCUACAAACUCCGAUUUGUACAGAGGAGCAGCCAGCGGUUCCCGUACAAGUGGAGGACAACACUAAGUUACCUGGUGCAGAUGCGGUCACUGCACUGCCGUGCCGACUGCAACCGAGUGGAUUUGCUGUCAGGAGGCAAACGUGGACCAUUUGCUCAGGGAUCUUCCCUGCAGAAACCUGAGCAGAACCUUUCAUAUGCUUUUCUAAGAGCGAGACGUUUUGGGGGUGUCCCUGCUCUUUCUAGGUGAGGUCCGUGCAGAAACCCUGCAACAGCCCGUCAACAGCAGAAAACCACAGAUCAGUAUGGACACUGGACUUUUUAACAGAACACAAACAGAGAGAGAUCAAGAAGAAAGAGCUUUCUUUACCUUCAUCCACACAAAAGCACAUUUGCUAUGAGCUAUAUAGCUAAUCUCACUGCGUAAGCCCCUCAUCAAGCUCAUUUGAGCCCCUGCAGUACCUAAAACAGCAAUCAGAGGCAGGUAAACACUACACUUUAGCCACACUAAUGAAGAAAACAAUUCUCUCAAAUGAGGCUAGAAUUAGAUUACAUACAGUAUGCUGUGCGAGAGAGUGUUUUUUCCUCUGAAAUUAGCUAAGCACUGCUACAAUUAAACAAGUAGCACACCUGGUGAUAAAUAGCCCCCAAAGACAUUAGAAGAGGUGAAAGGAGGGGAGGAACAGGGGGGCAUCUUCAGCUCGUGAGAAGUCCCUGAAUUGUGCUGGUUGAGUUGCAGCUGUGAGCGGCUUUACAGCGAUGCUGCUCAUUCCUCCCGCCUCAUUUAUCAUAGUCAGCGCUGAGGAGGAGGCUGGAGGCCAUGCUGGGUCUAUUGUAUUAGCAAACACACUCGUCAGAGCACAGCUCAUUGUCUGCUUUUUACACCCUCUUCCCCUCCGCAGUGUCCUUGCGCUCUAGUAAUGAGCGGCUAGUUGAGGUAGAGGUGUUAAAAGGCAGCCUAUUCCAUGUCA